GAUAGAUGAAGAACGCAGCGAAAUGCGAUAAGUAAUGUGAAUUGCAGAAUUCAGUGAAUCAUCGAAUCUUUGAACGCACCUUGCGCUCCUUGGUAUUCCGAAGAGCAUGCCUGUUUGAGUGUCAUGAAAUUCUCAACCUUUCUGGCUUUUACAAGCUAGUUAGGCUUGGAUUAUGGGAGCUGCUGGCUCUUGAAGUCAGCUCUUCUGAAAUGUAUUAGCAAGAUCAUUGCUGCUCAUCAUUGGUAUGAUAACUAUCUAUACCAUUGAGAGUCGGUUUCCUUCAUUGGAUGAUUUUGCUCCUAACCGUCUUUACUAGGACAUCACUUGACAAUUUUGACCUCAAAUCAGGUAGGACUACCCGCUGAACUUAAGCAUAUCAAUAAGCGGAGGA
rnacentral:misc_RNA from 1 species